ACUAAAUGAAUUCCCUUUUUGAAUCCAUUGUAUAUUUCAAUAUUUCGAACCAUGAUCAGCUCACUAUUUCCUGAGCUGGAACUUGCUAACUUCUAUGAUCGUUUUUUCAUGAAAGUUGAGAAGGCCGGGCCUUGGCCUUUUGUUUCUUCAUGAGAAGGUGUGACACUGCCUAUAAAUGUUUCUUACUGUGAAACACUCUGAAUGUGAGGCUGUAGUCAGGGUUGUUUCUGGUACUCGUGUCUAAAUCAGGGUAUUUGACAAUCUCAGAUGAUGCUACUGCCUAUGUGCCAGUUAGUUCAUCUUCCUACCAAGAUCAUGAAUGGCACCACACUAUCCACUAGCUGUACAAUUUACAGAGAAGCACAAGAUUCAUCUUGUCACCUACAAUUCGUCUUGAACAUGUUCAUAUUUAGUAUUUUCUUUAUAUUGAGGUCUACGCACUUCUUGACUUUCCAUUUUGUCUGUAAUUAUAAAACAGCAAAUAACAAAGAAGCAUUGGGACCCCCUCGGCUGCCUUGAUAAUAAAAUCAAGCUUCCUU
rnacentral:lncRNA from 1 species